AACGAACGCUGGCGGCGCGUCUUAAGCAUGCAAGUCGAACGGCAAGAGAGGAGCUUGCUUCUCUCCUAGAGUGGCGGACUGGUGAGGAACACGUGGGUAAUCUACCCUUAAGAUGGGGAUAGCUGCUAGAAAUAGCAGGUAAUACCGAAUACACUCGGCAUAUCACAAGAGGUGUUGAGGAAAGGAAGCUACGGCUUCGCUUGAGGAUGAGCUUGCGUCCCAUUAGCUAGUUGGUGAGGUAAAGGCCCACCAAGGCGACGAUGGGUAUCCGGCCUGAGAGGGUGAACGGACACAUUGGGACUGAGAUACGGCCCAAACUCCUACGGGAGGCAGCAGCUAAGAAUAUUCCGCAAUGGACGGAAGUCUGACGGAGCGACGCCGCGUGGAUGAAGAAGGCGGAAAAGUUGUAAAAUCCUUUUGUUGAUGAAGAAUAAGGGUGAGAGGGAAUGCUCAUCUGAUGACGGUAAUCGACGAAUAAGCCCCGGCUAAUUACGUG
rnacentral:rRNA from 1 species